rnacentral:lncRNA from 1 species
AGGAGGAGAUACAGGAGCUUCACAAAUGAUUCAUCUUUAUUUCGGCUUCCCAGAGUGAUGUAAUGCGCUGUGACAGGCUCGGUGAAAUAUGAAGCAUGAAGCGUCCGCUGGGAAAUGUAAAAGGAAGUUGCUAUUCCUGCCACUAAAUAUCUGUAAAUAUUAAAUGGGCUUUACAAGUAUUUUCCUAGUUGCUGAACAAAUUUAGAGAUUGAAACAUUUAAAGGAAGGAAGGAAAAACAGAAACAAGGGAGAUACUGACACUGCAAUCAUUUUUUUUUUUUUAUAUUUCUUUGAAAAGAAAACACAUUUAUUUUAGACUUUUUAUAUGCCACCUGUAACAGCAAAAUGGCACCAGCCAUCCUACAAUUUGUGGUUUCUUUGGCCUUUCACUGCAAAUUAAUCAGGUGGCUUCUUUGUGUCUCUUUAUUAGUAGCAUUUAUUUAUGGAUUUUUGAAAUGUGAUUUUGCCAGUCAGGAGGAGAAGCAGCCAAUUAUGUUCUCAGCAAACAAACUUAGCUUCUCCAUACAGAAAUGGAAAUGUUAACAUCACUCUGCAGCAUAAAGAGACUAACUACAGAAAAAAAAGUGGUGAAAAAGUAGAGAGAGUAAAAUCUUUCUGAUAAUUUGUAAUAUUUUGCUUUGUCUGGCAUCUUCUGAUUUGCUCUGGAAAAGUUGCUACAGGCAGAAGUGAUGGUUAAAUGACUGAAACAAACUGAAAAGCAUCUAUAAUCACAUGCAGCUGGACCAACAUUUAGCUCUCAAAAAACCCCGACACCUUACCCUGCUCUUAAGCCCUCCCCCCCGUUAGACAGGCUCUUUAGGGCAGGAGCAGCCUUUUCAUGUGCUUAUUCAUCCCCCGUGCCAGGGCCCCGAGGGCAUUAAUGAGCCUUAACAGCCCUGAGCAGCCUCACCUGCUCCGUGCACCUGGGGGCCCGGAGCCUAUCUAUGCCCAGUGAGGGGGCUCAGCCCCUUCCUGGGCUGUCCCGGGGUGUGCUGGGCUCCAGCCUGGCCACAGGCAGACCGUGUGCAUUUACCUCCCACCCGGACCCCAAGCCUGUCUCACCAGCAUGGACCUGCCUGGAGAUGGCUGGGCCCCAUCCUGACCGCAGCCUGUGGGUGGGCUUCAUGGCUUGGCUUUGGACCUGCUUCCCUGACUGGCCACCUCCGCUCUUGGCUGGAGCUGGCCCAGUCCCUGGUCUGCCCUGCUUGCCUUCCUGGGCAUCUGACUUUAUUCCUCUGGAUCAGCAGUGCAACAGCAACCUAUAUACAGCGAACCCGUUUAGAUGCAUGUAUUGCACACGGUUUUAA